GGGAGAGCAGGUUUCAUCAGUAAUGAAGAAGAAGGAAGAGCUCCUUAGUCAUCUUUCUCCUGAGACCUGAAGGAGCUGGUCCUACAGAAGAAACCUUCUACCUCAUUAUUCUGCAGCUCAAGUGAUACACACACCACCCCUCCUCCUCAUUUCUCUCAUUUCCAGCACCACUCCAGACUCUUGACACACAGCAUGUCUCUGCCCAGCAAACCAUCUUAUAAUAACAAAGACUUUAAAAGAAGAAAAAAGUUUUUCAGCAAAACCGAACAAUUCAUCAAACAUGUCAGACGGUCCCAAAGCUCAGAUGGACAACAGCCUGACCUCAUCAAACCACUCCCUUUGCUUUCCACCAAUUAAUUCCAUGGUUCAAGGUUCAUCAAAAAUGUGAUAUGAUUGGGUCAACAAGUAUAGUCAAAGAUACUUGCUACUCCCUCCAAAGCCAUUUGAUCCAAAUCCUGUGAAGUUUUAUUGAAGGUAUUUACACCUAUCAAGGAGGCAUUAGGUUUCAAAGACCUGAUAUUUUAACCUUGUUUCAGUCUGUUAAAAUUCUUUAAAUAUCACUCUCCCCUUCCUAAGACCAUGUAUUUAUGAUAUACAUUUUUUAAAAAAAGGAAUAAAAAAUUUUCAGCAA